rnacentral:tRNA from 1 species
AGAGGUAAGUCGUAACAUGGUAAGCAUACCGGAAGGUGUGCUUGGAACAAAGCAUAGUUUACUCAAAACCUCUUGCUUACACCAAGAAAUCGCCCGUGAAACCCGGGUUGCUUUGAGC